ensembl:lncRNA
AUGUCGGAGAGUGCCAGCCUCCUCCACCAGAUCCAACAGAGACUCGCUCACCGAGCAUUAACACUGGCGGUCAGCAGACAGAGGCAAACCACUGACUCCUCAGCCACUAUAUCACAUUCAUGCACACAAGCACAGUCCACAUACAUAUCACGUUUACUUGAAAGAGUAUUAUCUCUUCUACAAAUAUACACCAGGAAUGAACAUCAGAAACAAUAUAGAUUGGUCUAAUAAUUGUACCAUUCACAUGAACGCAGAUGUGGUGCCAUUGUAUUCCAUUACCAGCAUAUAUCCUGUAUUUGGAAAUGAAUAACACUAUUUAUAAAAUGUACAGGGAUUGUCAGUAUAAACCAGCCUCUUUCACUGUUUGCUUCAAUAUUCAUGCACAUGACUGCUAGAUGAGACUGACAUGUUUUGCCUUUACUAGUCACAACUAAGCCUUAACCAGCAUCUGACCAGUUCUUAACCCCUCGAUACACUUGCCCUGCAUAUUUUUCUUAAAAUAUACCAUGUUACCGGUCCUGCUGUUUCACUGACACUUUCAUUUUGUUGCAGUCUUAUUUUAUUUCUUAACGAUUAGCAAGUUUCACCCUUUUUAAAUUGCCUUCUAUUAAAUGUUUUUUAUUUUAUUUUUCAUUUAUUUUAUGCUAUUUUAUUUUAUUUGUUAGGAUACAGGAUAGAAUAACACAUCUGACAUGUUUUAACAAGUUUUUGGGAUGCUCUGAUUUAAUAUAGUCCUUAUUAAUGUUAUAUCAGUUAUAUACUGAUUACAUGAAAAGAGUAAACAGUAAAUCAAAUAAAUAUAUGUAUUUGAGUAUUCAGUAGUUCUUAUUCAGUUCCUAUUUCAAUAAAAAAAAUGCUGGAACACACUUCUGUUUCUUUAUGAUUCUCACACAUUAUUCUUCAGAUGGAAAAACCUAAAUAUAGACUAAUAUUCUCUUUUACAGCCCUAUUUAGUGAAACAGAAAUCCAAACAAAUGAUAGUUAUAAUGUUAUAUAAUGAUGGUCCUUUAAUUUCAACCAUAAAGCCCUACAAGUGUAGUCUGAACAAAUGACUUGUAGUGAAUCAGACAUACACAGCACACUGUGUAUGUAAAUCAGUGUUUCAGAUGUGUUCAAGUAGUUUAAAUACAUUUUAUAAGAUAUAUAUUCUUCACAUUUGUCAUAGCCAUCACAUUCCCAAGUGCUAUCACUCUUGACACUGACAAACACAUUCUUGUUCUUACAAAUCCAUGCUGUCAUUUCCCAAGCUUUUUUAAACACUUUUUUCCUUUUAUUUGCUGGUCCUGUGUUUUUUUUUGUUUGUUUGUUUUUUUUGCCUUUUAGCCAUCCAAUCAAAGGAAGCCCUUCUCACAGUGAGAAUCCACAUCCUUCAUUUGGCUCUUAGAGUCAAUCAGCCUUCCUCCCCCUCCUCCUCCUCUCUUUCUCUGUCUCUCCACUGCCUCUCUCUCUGUGCUUUCCCUCUGACCAAGUGCAUCCUGGCAUUGGAUGGAGCAGCAUGGAUGAAGUGGUUGAAAGAAAAGGCAGAAAGAUAAAUGAAGAAUGCAAGAGAGCUCGCUCCCUCUGUCUGAGCUAUAUACACGAAUCACAUUGUAAUGGCCAUCUGAAUAAUACACCCAGUGUGGACUUGAGUCAACAUUGAAAAAAAAGCUGCAAUGAUAUACUUAUUGUACUGCAGAUGCUGUGUGGUGCUUGUGUUUACUCACAAGACAAUAUCGACUCAGUCUAUUUAGAGGUAUAGAGCUAAACGGGAAUCUGCCAUACAUAAGCUUACAGAAUAUUCCUGUCUGCACACCAAUAUAAAGGAUAGCGGAUACACAACGUACUGUGGUACUGUGUGUGAAUGUAUUCUUCCUGAGAGUUUGAAGGUUAUUUGAUCCCACUGUGUUUGUUUCAGCCACAAUGUCUCUUCUAUUUUCCCUAGCAAACUAAUAAGUCAUGUCUGACUGAAAUGUACAUACAUUAGAAUAUAUAUACAUAUAUAUUUAUUUAUUUAUUUAUUUGUUGAUGCAGCAGUGGAAUACAUCCGAGAAUGAGAAUGGUUGAUGAAUCAAUCUGUCUGCUGUUGAAAUGUUAUUGAUAUAUAAAUUCAAGAAUCCUUAAUACAAUGACAUGAGUUUAAAUGAAUAUAGCAUCUGUUCUGACUCUUUAUACGGUGAACAGGAUCUGUUACUGUGUUGAUGUAAAUUUAUUGUGCAUCUCUGGGAGUGGUGCUUCUGUUGAUUUGUGUUGACAUGUACAUUUACUAAGGAUUGAUAAUGAAGUCAUUGUAUUAAAAAUUAACUGAUUGUAAAAUGUAAGUUUACGGUUAGUAUGUGUGUUUGUAUAUACAUACUGUAUAUGGAGGGGUCUGCAGGCAACACCAAAAUCUCCACUCUGUGGUGGAACAGGGGUGUGUGAAUCUUACUGCUGCCUUGUGUAUCUUAUUGUGGUCUGGUGUCAUAAACUGGCCAAUGCUUUGUGAUGAAAUUAAAGUGAUUUUGUGCAAAAGAUAACAGUGAAUUUUGUUCUUGUGAUUUUUAUUCAUGUACUUUACAGUCAAGACUUUCAGGUAUGCAUCUAUACUGAAAUUGAUUUUCAAAAAUAAACUGAGAAAUAUUCACUGGAGUGAAAAGUGUAACUGCUAGCCCAACUUUGUAAUUCAUGUACAAGUACAAUUAAAAUUAACAUUGAUGUUCCAGAGAAUAACAUAUGUUAUGUCUUACCCAUAUUUGUUUUUUAAUUGAAUAUUGAUGAAAAUGCUUUAAUUAAGUUAUUUCAUAUUAAAUUCCCAAAUAUGAAUAAAACACACCAUUCAAAAGUUCAGAAUUCUUUUUCAUAAUUCAUUCUACUAUCACUUUUGAUGAAUUUAAUGCAUCCUUGCUGAGUAAAAAUAUUAAUUUAUUUUAAAAAGUAUUAAAAAAAACAACAACCCAAAAUGUUUGUUCUUUGUGUAAAACAAUGCCAUUAUUAUUAUUAUUAUUAUUAUUAUUAUAUUUUUAUCAGAACAAGGUAUAUUGAAAGCAUUCGGUGACAAAACACUAUUUUUCAUUCACUCGUUUCGUUCAAGAACUACAUUCCUCUUGAUGUUUAAAAUUAAAGGACCCCAUGUUUUGUAGAAUGUUCUGG